rnacentral:lncRNA from 1 species
GUUGCAUUUGUCCAAAUCCCUUUGGACUUCCUCAAGACCGAGACGGAGACGUGAUUGGGGAAGACUGCAGUGGGUUGAAAAGCCAGUGGGACUUAGGGAGGUAUUUUUUUAAAACAGACGGCCUUACAAGGAGUUUGCUGUACAUUAAGACGGCCUUACAAGAAGUUUGCUGUACAUUAAGACGGCCUUACAAGACGUUUGAGCACAUGAGAUAGCGACAGGUGGAGACGCCUGUCAAAGGACAUUGUUUUGUUGUUUAAGAUAGUAAACGCUUCAAUGCUUCCGGAUGGGAAACACCGGAUCACUUUUCCUGCGGGAAAGAACCGGUAUGGAGGGAGAGAGAAAAACAGGCCGUUUUCCUGAUCUCUCCAGACAAAAUGGAUGGACGCCCGUGCAGGUUAAUUGUCAGGUUUCUGGACAGGACGUUUUGGAAAUUUUCCACCUAAGUGGGCUUGCUGUUUUCUCCGAGUUCUUCUGACCUCAAUUCCCUCGUGGGACAGUAUCCUUCUACUGGUGCAACUUAAUUUAUUGAAAAAAUGAAUAGACAGAUGAAAACCUGAUAUUCAAUUUGUUGUGGCAGCCCUAGGAAACCAACACACCAUCCCUUCUUUCACUCACCAACCUCCCAUCACAUCAACCUCAAGCUGUUUUAUUUUCUUCAUAGAAUUUUUUACUAUAUAAAGUUUCCUUGUUCUUUUAUUUUUUAACGUUUUUAUUGUCUGUUGCCCACCCAUCCUCCUAGACUGUAAAUUCCGUUAGAGACUGAAUUUGUUUUAUCCAGUUCUAUAUUUUCAGUGCCUAGCACGGUAUCUGAUAAACAAGUAUUUCUCAAAUCAAUCAUUUAAUUUGCAUAUUAAAUGUUAUGGUUUUCUUUC